rnacentral:rRNA from 1 species
AUUGAACGCUGGCGGCAGGCCUAACACAUGCAAGUCGAGCGAGCGGCGGACGGGUGAGUAAUGUCUGGGAACAUGCCUGAUGGAGGGGGAUAACUACUGGAAAAGGUAGCUAAUACCGCAUACCCUCAGAUGUGCCCCUAGGGGAUUAGCUGGUGGGUGGGGUAACGGCUCACCGAGGCGAGGAUCCCUAGCUGGUCUGAGAGGAUGCCCAGCCAAACUGGAACGGAGACACGGUCCAGACGCCGACGGGAGGCAGCAGGGGGGAAUAUUGCACAAUGGGCGCAAGCCGGAUGCAGCCAGGCGGCGUGUGGGAAGAAGGCCUGCGGGUGGUAAAGCACGUUCAGCGGGGAGGCGUUACCCGCAGAAGAAGCACCGGCUAACUCCGUGCCAGCAGCCGCGGUAAUUC